GGAGAGAUGGCUCACUGGUUAAGAGCACUGACUGUUCUUCCAGAGGUCCUGAGUUCAAUUCCCAGCAACCACA
rnacentral:tRNA from 1 species